rnacentral:rRNA from 1 species
GGAGUUAGCCGGUGCUUCUUCUGUGAGUGAUGUCCUUCCUGCCGGUUAUUGACCCGCAGGCCUUCUUCCUCACUGAAAGUGCUUUACAACCCGAAGGCCUUCUUCACACACGCGGCAUGGCUGGAUCAGGGUUGCCCCCAUUGUCCAAUAUUCCCCACUGCUGCCUCCCGUAGGAGUCUGGGCCGUGUCUCAGUCCCAGUGUGGCUGAUCAUCCUCUCAGACCAGCUACGGAUCGUCGCCUUGGUGAGCCGUUACCUCACCAACCAGCUAAUCCGACAUAGGCUCAUCCGAUAGCGCGAGGCCCGAAGGUCCCCCGCUUUCCCCCGUAUGGCGUAUGCGGUAUUAGCCUGGGUUUCCCCAGGUUAUCCCCCACUACCGGGCAGAUUCCUAUGCAUUACUCACCCGUCCGCCGCUCGCCACCAGGGAGCAAGCUCCCCGUGCUGCCGCUCGACUUGCAUGUGUUAGGCCUGCCGCCAGCGUUCAAUCUGAGCCAUGAUCAAACUCUGA